UACGUAGGGUGCAAGCGUUGUCCGGAAUUAUUGGGCGUAAAGAGCGUGUAGGCGGCUCGGUAAGUCCGCUGUGAAAGUCGGGGGCUCAACCCUCGAAUGCCGGUGGAUACUGUCGGGCUAGAGUGCGGAAGAGGCGAGUGGAAUUCCUGGUGUAGCGGUGAAAUGCGCAGAUAUCAGGAGGAACACCAAUUGCGAAGGCAGCUCGCUGGGACGUAACUGACGCUGAGACGCGAAAGCGUGGGGAGCAAACAGG
rnacentral:rRNA from 1 species